GACGAACGCUGGCGGCGUGCUUAACACAUGCAAGUCGUACGGUAAGGCCCUUUCGGGGGUACACGAGUGGCGCACGGGUGAGUAACACGUGAGUAACCUGCCCACAACUUUGGGAUAACGCUAGGAAACUGGUGCUAAUACUGGAUAUGUGCUCCUGCUGCAUGGUGGGGGUUGGAAAGCUCCGGCGGUUGUGGAUGGACUCGCGGCCUAUCAGCUUGUUGGUGGGGUAGUGGCCUACCAAGGCGGCGACGGGUAGCCGGCCUGAGAGGGUGACCGGCCACAUUGGGACUGAGAUACGGCCCAGACUCCUACGGGAGGCAGCAGUGGGGAAUAUUGCACAAUGGGCGCAAGCCUGAUGCAGCAACGCCGCGUGCGGGAUGACGGCCUUCGGAUUGUAAACCGCUUUCAGCAGGGACGAAGCUUUUUGUGACGGUACCUGCAGAAGAAGCACCGGCUAACUACGUG
rnacentral:rRNA from 1 species